GUCCUAUCGAAGAUCCAGUUGAUGGGGAUGGGUGUGGGUUUCUUUUGUGCUUUGACCGCUCUAUCGUGGGCCUUCUCUUCCAUCCUCUUUAUCUUGUGCGGCAGCGCGCACAGGUAGUCCCGCGCGCGCCUCCCCUCGCCGGUGAGCCCCGCCGCAAGUUCCUCGACGCCCCACUGCCGUAUGAAGUGCUCGAGAAUGGCGCGGUAGUCGGAAACCGUGUACGUGCCGGCCUGCUGCGCGAUGGCGACGAAGCGAGCGUAGAAGUCGCCGCUGCUGUGGCGGCCGUCGUUGAUGAGCACAGUGGGCAUGUCGAUCCGGCGCCGCAUCAUGUACGCCAUGGCGCGCACGGCGGCGUCCGGGUCGGCCUCGAAGAACUUGCCCACGACGCGGGUGUACGCCGCCUCGUGCCGCUUCUCGUCGGCGGCGACGGUGCCGCAGAUGCGCGCGAGAGCGGCGUCCCCGGCCCCGCGCGCGCCCACGAGGCGCGCCGUGUUGCCGUGCGCGAUGGCGGUGGCGCGCUCCUGGAAGGCGACGUAGACGAAGCCGUGGAACGGGCUCGCCGGCGCGUGCACUAUCACCCCGUCGCGGAUGAGGCGCUGCACGGUGCGCUCCACCUCGCGCAUGUGGAAGCGGCCCGAGAGGUGCAUGUAGCGGUUGAGCACGUCGCCGUGGCGGUUCUCCUCGGCGGACCAGCCGCGGAUCCAGCGCGCCCACGCCGUGGCGUCGGCUCCCGUGGCGUCCCGCACGACCUCGAGGCGGUUCAGCCCGCUCGGGUACGAGGGCAGCGCCUCCUCCGUGAUCAUGUUGGCGACGAGGCAGACGAGGAGGUCGUCCGGCACCCCCGCCGCGGCCGCUCGGAGCUCGAGGCACGCGGCGUGGAAGCCGUCGCUGCCCAGAUUCGCCGGGUCCGGUAGCAGGUCGGACGGCUGCCACGACGCCUCCACCGGCUUGAGCAACGGUAGCACGUGCUCUUCCACCCACGGCUCCAUCUGUCUCAGCAUUUCCAGCCUCUCCGGAGCCAGCGUGCAGAGGAGAUGACUACACUCGAGCCCAGAGAGCCCUGCACCAGGGGUAAAAAAAAAACCAGACUUGGGUUGUUUGUUGCAUCUGCUGGCUGCAGCACACUAGGUCCUCGGGGGGCGUUCUUUAUAGCUCGAGCAGCUAGAUUGGCGCAGUUAUUUGCUCAGCGCAGUUGUUUGGUAGGAGUAAAUGGCAAGAGUUAAUUCAGUCUCAGAGAGGUACUGGCACAUGUAUGCUACUCAUCCACCCUACCAGCCUACCUCGUCGCUCUCGUCCUCUCCUAUCUGAUUCCGACCCUUUCUCACAUGGUUCUCAUCAAGGCCAAUGAAUGCAGGCAUUGUUCCCAGUCACCACGCAGUAAAAAAAGACGACGGAAGAAUGGAUGACUGUUUUCGAAUCUGGCAGCAUAUUUAUAUAUUUUGCUGCUUUCUACUUCAUCACGUGCAAAUGGAAACUCAACUUCGCGAAUAUGUCUUAUAUAUAAACUCUUUCC
rnacentral:misc_RNA from 1 species